CUGCCUAUGCCUAAGGACGGCUCUGAAUUCGGUACUUGUAGACCAUAAGAACGGCAGCAGCACCCCAGCACCAAUGGUGCUGGAACAAUUUGUACAGUGGAGGUGCUGAGAGCCACUGACUCAAACUGAACCAAACCCUGUGUAUGAUGGACACCACUUUCAGCACCUAAAAGAAGAAGGUGAAAGGAGUGAGCAACUGGAACCUCAGUGGGGAGGCACCGAGCAGUUGGAGCCUCUGGGUAGGGGAUGAGAGAGCUGAAGAAACAGAACUAGCCGAUCUCCUGGUGCCCCAAACAAAACUAGACCCUGCUGUUCCCAUAGGAGAUGGAUGGGAGAUUUUUUGCACAGAGCUCUGGCUGAGACAAGGUCAGAUGGAAGCAUCAGACCACAGAGCUCCUAUCCUGUCGCCUAGCUCCCUCUACUUGGAUGGGCAAGAAUGAACUUUGGACCAUCUCCCUUCCAGUCUGCUGAACACUACUGGGGAGAGAGAAAUAGCUCUUGGUGACUCUCUAUGGGUGCAAAUAGUCCCUACUUGAUACAUUCCUUUAUGGGGAGUGAGGAACCCCUCUGGGAAAUGAGGAGAGGGAUUUGAGAACUGGAGCUCUGGUCACAUUCUCCCAGCAGCUGGUCUGUCUGUGAUCCUGGCAAUGGGAUGUUCCUGGUGUGUCUGUGCUGGGGGCUGAUAUGGGGCUGAUUUUGAUGAGUGGCUGUGUGGAAGUUGCUGGUGCGUAGCUGUGUGGCUCCAAUACACUGGCAGUACAGCUAUGGUGCAGGCACAGGGGUGUCUUCACACAGCUGCUUACAGGUAGGCAUGAGGGUGCAGGGCAGAGAGAGAAUAUAAUGGUGGUAGGGGGGUGACAUGGAAAGAGAAGAGAUGGAGUUUGGAAAUGGGGACAGAAAUUAUGUGGUGGAAUUAGCUGGGCCCUCUUCACAUAUUUGCUUUUGGUCCAAUAUCAAAAUUACCACUCUUUUGAGAUUGGACUAUUGAUUCCAAUUCAGCUUUCAGUUUCUCCCUGCCAAGGGUGCUGGAACGAUUUUUAUAAUGGGGUAGCUGAGAGUCAUUGAGCCAAACUAAACUCUGUAUAUAAGGGAACUCACUUCAAGCCAGGUGGUGUGGCAGCACCCCCCAAUCCCUAAUUCCAGCAUGUAUGCUCCCUGUACUUGUAAUUCCUUUUUCAGUCUUUUGUAGCGUAAUGUGCACUCAUUUCAUAGCAAUAUCAAAAUAAUUCAGUAGAACAGCACGUUGAUAUCCUAUAGUGAGAGAGAGAAAAACACUCCGCAGACAAAAGGUUCCUCCUAGAAUACAACACUUCACCAGUUUGCAAUUACUCCCAUUUUCCCUAGCCUUCUGAUUAUCACGUUGGAUUUUGUGUAAACAACAUCACACAGUCAGUGCAGGACCAAUUCAAACUUCCAGCUUUGUCUGAAACCGUAAAACCUCCUGUAGCUGUUGACAUCAAUGCAGCUGAACAUGUCCAGUUUUAGAAAAUCCGGUGUCAGACACAGCUCUGAAAGAUUGACUUGUGCCAUGAAAGAGGUCAUGCUGCCUCCACCCCCAACUAGAAGUCACAGAGUUUCUCCUCUAUAGACUUCAAUUAUCAGCUUGUGUUUGUCCUAUGGGCCGUAACAUUUAGAUCACUGCUUCAAACGUCCUUGGAACAAGGUGGUGAUGGGAACUUGAGGAAAGAAAAUAAGUUAAGAAAGCAUGGUGAUGACCAUAUCUCACCCCAGCAGCUGCCAAUGCUAUGGAGAAGUUGUGUCACAGGCACAGGACUAGCCUUUCUAAGGCAAACAAGGGUAUGUCUACAUUACCCACUGGAUCGGCAAGUAGUGAUCGAUCUUUUGGGGAUCGAU